UACGGGGGGGGCAAGCGUUGUUCGGAAUUACUGGGCGUAAAGGGCUUGUAGGUGGCCAACUAAGUCAGACGUGAAAUCCCUCAGCUUAACUGGGGAACUGCGUCUGAUACUGGAUGGCUUGGAUUCGGGAGAGGAAUGCGGAAUUCCAGGUGUAGCGGUGAAAUGCGUAGAUAUCUGGAGGAACACCGGUGGCGAAGGCGGCAUCCUGGACCGAAACUGACGCUGAGGAGCGAAAGCCAGGGGAGCAAACGGG
rnacentral:rRNA from 1 species